rnacentral:rRNA from 1 species
AGAGUUUGAUCCUGGCUCAGAAUCAACGCUGGCGGCGCGCCUAACACAUGCAAGUCGAACGAGAAAGUGGAGCAAUCCAUGAGUACAGUGGCGUACGGGUGAGUAACACGUGGGUAAUCUACCUUUUAGUGAGGAAUAACCGAGGGAAACUUCGGCUAAUACCGCAUAAGCCCGAGAGGGGAAAGUCGAAAGACGCUGAAAGAGGAGCCCGCGGCCGAUUAGCUAGUUGGUGAGGUAAGAGCCCACCAAGGCAGAGAUCGGUAGCCGGCCUGAGAGGGCACACGGCCACACUGGCACUGAAACACGGGCCAGACUCCUACGGGAGGCAGCAGUGGGGAAUCUUGCACAAUGGGGGAAACCCUGAUGCAGCGACGCCGCGUGAGCGAUGAAGCCCUUCGGGGUGUAAAGCUCUUUCGUCAGGGAAGAUAGUGACGGUACCUGGAGAAGCAGCUGCGGCUAACUACGUGCCAGCAGCCGCGGUAAUACGUAGGCAGCAAGCGUUGUUCGGAGUUACUGGGCGUAAAGGGUGUGUAGGCGGUUCCUUAAGUUUGCUGUGAAAUCUCCCGGCUUAACCGGGAGGGUGCGGUGAAUACUGAGGGACUAGAGUACGGGAGAGGAAAGUGGAAUUCCUGGUGUAGCGGUGAAAUGCGUAGAUAUCAGGAGGAACACCGGUGGUGUAGACGGCUUUCUGGACCGACACUGACGCUGAGACACGAAAGCGUGGGUAGCAAACAGGAUUAGAUACCCUAGUAGUCC